CUUGCUCCACCGGAAAAAGAAGAGUGGCGAACGGGUGAGUAACACGUGGGUAACCUGCCCAUCAGAAGGGGAUAACACUUGGAAACAGGUGCUAAUACCGUAUAACAAUCGAAACCGCAUGGUUUUGAUUUGAAAGGCGCUUUCGGGUGUCGCUGAUGGAUGGACCCGCGGUGCAUUAGCUAGUUGGUGAGGUAACGGCUCACCAAGGCCACGAUGCAUAGCCGACCUGAGAGGGUGAUCGGCCACAUUGGGACUGAGACACGGGCCCAAACUCCUACGGGGAGCCACCAGUAGGGAAUCUUCGGCAAUGGACGAAAGUCUGACCGAGCAACGCCGCGUGAGUGAAGAAGGUUUUCGGAUCGUAAAACUCUGUUGUUAGAGAAGAACAAGGAUGAGAGUAACUGUUCAUCCCUUGACGGUAUCUAACCAGAAAGCCACGGCUAACUACGUGCCAGCAGCCGCGGUAAUACGUAGGUGGCAAGCGUUGUCCGGAUUUAUUGGGCGUAAAGCGAGCGCAGGCGGUUUCUUAAGUCUGAUGUGAAAGCCCCCGGCUCAACCGGGGAGGGUCAUUGGAAACUGGGAGACUUGAGUGCAGAAGAGGAGAGUGGAAUUCCAUGUGUAGCGGUGAAAUGCGUAGAUAUAUGGAGGAACACCAGUGGCGAAGGCGGCUCUCUGGUCUGUAACUGACGCUGAGGCUCGAAAGCGUGGGGAGCAAACAGGAUUAGAUACCCUGGUAGUCCACGCCGUAAACGAUGAGUGCUAAGUGUUGGAGGGUUUCCGCCCUUCAGUGCUGCAGCUAACGCAUUAAGCACUCCGCCUGGGGAGUACGACCGCAAGGUUGAAACUCAAAGGAAUUGACGGGGGCCCGCACAAGCGGUGGAGCAUGUGGUUUAAUUCGAAGCAACGCGAAGAACCUUACCAGGUCUUGACAUCCUUUUGACCACUCUAGAAAUAGAGCUUCCCCUUCGGGGGCAAAGUGGACAGGGGGUGCAUGGUUGUCCUCAGCUCGUGUCGUGAGAUGUUGGGUUAAGUCCCGCAACGAGCGCAACCCUUAUUGUUAGUUGCCAUCAUUUAGUUGGGCACUCUAGCAAGACUGCCGGUGACAAACCGGAGGAAGGUGGGGAUGACGUCAAAUCAUCAUGCCCCUUAUGACCUGGGCUACACACGUGCUACAAUGGGAAGUACAACGAGUCGCGUAGUCGUGAGGCUAAGCUAAUCUCUUAAAGCUUCUCUCAGUUCGGAUUGUAGGCUGCAACUCGCCUACAUGAAGCCGGAAUCGCUAGUAAUCGCGGAUCAGCACGCCGCGGUGAAUACGUUCCCGGGCCUUGUACACACCGCCUGUCACACCACGAGAGUUUGUAACACCC
rnacentral:rRNA from 1 species